UGAGGAAUAUUGGUCAAUGGGGGCAACCCUGAACCAGCCAAGUCGCGUGAAGGAUGAAGGUCUUAUGGAUUGUAAACUUCUUUUAUACAGGAAUAAAUUGGGGGACGUGUCCCCUUUUGCAUGUACUGUAUGAAUAAGGAUCGGCUAACUCCGUGCCAGCAGCCGCGGUAAUACGGAGGAUCCGAGCGUUAUCCGGAUUUAUUAGGUUUAAAGGGUGCGCAGGCGGGAUGUUAAGUCGGCGGUGAAAUUUUGCAGCUCAACGGUAAGAGUGCCGUCGAUGCUGGCCUCCUUGAGUGGUGAUGAAGUAGGCGGAAUUUGUGGUGUAGCGGUGAAAUGCAUAGAUAUCACGAGGAACUCCGAUUGCACAGGCAGCUUACUAAGCCACAACUGACGCUCAUGCACGAAGGCGUGGGGAUCAAACA
rnacentral:rRNA from 1 species